rnacentral:lncRNA from 1 species
UGUUGAAAACGAGGCAAGAAAUGCAUAAAAAGCCUAGUCUCGACAAAAGCACAGAAUAUAGGAUUAUGUUAUCUAAUGACUUAACAUAUUUAGCAAAAGAGAGCUUAGCUGCAUCCCUACAAUUCUAAAAUAAAUGGUUCAUGUAUGAGAGAUUGAAGGAAGCGAAGUCUCCACAUCCUUCAACUUCCUAUAUCCUAGCCAUCCUGAGUAAGGGAUGUGAAAAGUACUCAACAGUUAAUGCACAAAUCACAUUUGCAUACUUCAAUCUCUUUUCAUCUUUCUUUUUUCAUUUUGAAACUUUGUUUGGCUUAAGCAUGGAG